AUGUACUCUGAUUUUCAACAGGAUAAAAAGAAAUUUUGGGACGCAGUCGACAUGACUAUACCUGGGGGCAUCACGGUCAUUAGUGGCAUCAAUGAGUGUGUCAAUUUGUUUCAGUGGGCCAGAUCUGCUAUUUCAUCUCUUCGCUCCCGAUGGAGUGGCACAGAGGAGCAAACGCUUCAGGAUGAAGUACUGCACUUGCAGAGUGGCCUACUACGCCUUAGGGAUACACUUCCUGCAAUGUGCGACCUCAUUGAUCGAGCAGAGUGGAGGAUCCAUGAACAGUGCAUGGCCAAGCUCCUUCCAAAACUCAGGGAUGCAGUGUAUGAUGCUGAUGACCUUCUUGAUGAGUUUGGAUGGUAUGAGCUGAAGGUGGCCGUGGAGGGCAAUGCAAGCCAAAGCCCUUUUGUUGACUUCUUUAACAGUGUUAUUCAAGGUAGCUUCAACAAAGUGGAAGAUAUCCAGAAAAGACUGAAAAAUCUUUCUAGGCAGCUGGAGGAGAUGGGUUUGCGUGAAGAGACACCGCACUUUGAUAAAUCAGUCAGGCCAGAUACUAGCUCUUUGCCCGAUGAGACAAAAAUAUUUGGUCGUGACCUGGAGCUGAAGCAGGUGAUAGGAUUGCUUGGUGUACCUACAAAUAUUAGCGGGGCUCAUCUCAAACGCAAGAGAGCAAGUACUGUAGUGAGAGGGUCGACAAGUACAUCAAGCAACAUUAGUAAUAAAUCAAGAAUACCAAGCAUUCCUGUUUUGCCAAUAGUUGGACUUGGGGGUGUCGGAAAAACCACUUUGGCCCAACAUAUCUGCAAUCAUCAACAAGUGAAGUCUUACUUUGACUUGGUAAUUUGGAUUUGUGUCUCAGAUGACUUUGAUGUGACAAGGUUAACCAAAGAGGCCGUGCAAGCCUCUUCUGAUAAUUUGGAUUCUCUUCAACGCGCUCUUUCAAAGAAUGUGAGGAACAAAAGGUUCUUGAUUGUCCUUGAUGAUAUGUGGGAUGAUGCCUUGAAGGAAAAUGGGCUGUGUUGGAAGAGGUUUUGUGCACCUUUGAGAAAUGUGAUACAGGGAAGUAUGAUUUUGGUCACCACUAGAUCUCCAAAGGUUGCUGAUGGAGUGGGGACAAUGGAGCCCUUUAUAUUGGAUGGUUUGAAGGAUGAUGUCUUCUGGAAUUUCUUCAAACUAUGUGUGUUUGGAUCUGAGAGUUCGAACAGUGAACCUGAGCUAGAGCUCAUUGGUAGAAGCAUACUUCCUAAACUGAAAGGUUCUCCUUUAGCAGCCAAAACUCUUGGUCGCCUGUUAAAAAUGAACCUUCAUGUAACACACUGGAAUAAAAUACUAGAAAGUGAAUUGUGGGAGUUGAGACAAAAUGAGACUGAAAUUUUGCCAGCACUUCGGUUGAGCUACAUGUAUUUACCAUUCCAUUUGAAGAGAUGCUUCUCGUUCUGUGCUGUAUACCCUAAAGAUCACAAAUUUGAGAAGGACUAUUUAGCUGAAAUUUGGGUAGCAGAAGGCUUGGUUGAACCUCAAGGUGACAUUCCGAUUCAAGAUAUUGGCUGCCAGUACUUCGAAGAUCUUGUAGAACGUUCCUUCUUUCAGAAAGUUCGUGAUACUUACGGAAUACAUGACUUGCUGUAUGACAUGGCACAACUAGUUUCGGAGCAUGACUGCUUUGUCAUUAAAAAUAUGAGUGACUUCCAGAAAGUUCCUCAGGACGUUCGUCGUCUUUCAAUACUCUCUAGCACAAAAUUUGACCGUUCCACAUUGCUGAGUCUAUGCAAGCACACAAAACUCCGUACACUAUUUUGCAACAAGUCUUUAAGGAAUAAGACUGUAGCUUCUGUUGUAGUUCAUUGGUUCAAUGAACUUCGGCAUAUGCGUGUAAUCAUUUUUUCUGCCAUUGAGGAGUUACCAGAUAGUGUUGGCAACUUGAAGCAUCUCCGGUACCUGAAAAUCUCCAGAGCAUGUCCUUUCGACAGCCUUCCUUCAGCAAUUUGUUGCCUGUAUAAUUUGCAGAUUUUCAGUGCUAGCGAAUGCAAGCUAGAAAGCUUGCCCAGUGACUUCAGUAAAUUGAUCAGCUUACAGAGAUUUGAAUCAAAUGGAUUUCAAUAUGAUCAAGACUGUCCACUAAAUUUUGAUGCAGACAGUGAACGGGGACUACGAAUGAGACUGCUAAAGAAUGUGACCCAAUUUUGUGGAGAUUUGGAGAUAUGCAAUCUGAGCAUGCGAAGCAAGGAUCAUGCAGCACAGGUUGAACUAAAGAAUAAGCGAUAUCUUAAUGGCCUCACCUUGGGGUGGUCUUUAUCCACACAGGGGCACAGUGAGAUUGAAGUGCUUCAAGUUCUACAACCUUCCAUCAAUCUCAAAUCUCUGCUCCUGCGGUGUUAUCCAGGUGUAUCUCUCCCAAACUGGUUUCAGCCACAAAACUUAGCUAAUUUAACAUCACUAUCGUUGCAUAACUGUGAUGGACUCGAGAGCAUAUCAUUUUCCAGGAUCUCACAGCGCAUAAACCUAAAUGAUAUGCGUGCGGUGCCAAUUGACAACAAUAAUGACAGUAUUGGUACUUUCUUGGCCCUGACAGUCAUAUCCAUUUACAUGUGCAAGAAUGUAUCAAGCCUUGAACAAGUGCUACAUCCAGCUUCUGUACCAGCCAUCAAGAAAAUAACAAUUCAAUAUUGCAAUAAGUUAGUAUCAGUGCCAACUGAGAGGUUUGAGGACUUGCAUUGCCUUGAAGAAUUAUACGUGAGUGAUUGUCCAAAUAUUUACUCCUAUGGUUUGGUGGCGCCCUCCCUCGAGAGGCUCGUGCUGGGUAGUUCUGGGAAUCUUGCAGGAAAUAUAGAAUGCUCGUCCCUAGUCUGCCUUUCUUUGUCAUGUCACUGCGUGACAUCCAUCGAACCACAAAUGUGGAGUCUUCCAGCUCUACUAGAGUUGAACAUUACAGGGUGCAGAUCUCUUACAUCUAUUGGACAACCUGAACCUUUCUUCACUAACAUUUCUCGUGGCGGAGGCACCACCAGCGUGAUAUUCUCAUCUCUUACUUCCAUAACCAUUUAUGAUUGUGAGAAACUGUCAAAUAUUGAUGACCUUCUAACAGAAGAAUAUCUACCUGCUAUCGAGAGCAUUCUUGUUGGACGCUGUGGCAAGUUAAUUUCCCUAUCCAGUGAAACGUUUGGAAGUUUCCCUUUCCUGAAGGAUUUGAAAGUUCAUGAUUGCCCAAGUAUCAACUGGCAAAGUGGAUUGGCGCUCCCAUCAUCCCUCCAAAGACUCUACUUAAGGUCAUGUGGGGAUAUCUCCGCAUGGGUUCCCAGUAGCCUAGAGAACCUCGCAUCCCUUGUUUCACUGCAGAUGAUUGAAUGUCCACGUGUAGUGUCCAUUCCAGGAGAAGUUUGGAGCAGUGAUCUCACGUCACUCAAGGAAUUGAAGAUUGAGGAUUGUCCAGACCUUGUGUCAAUUGGUGGGGCAAAUGCAAUUGCAGAAAUAAAUAAUGUGUGUAUUUCUGGCUGUCCAAAGAUGAAGGAAAAUGCUUAUGUGAUGAGAGGGCGCUUCUAG
rnacentral:rRNA from 1 species